AUGACCUACACACUGUGAAUUUCAAGGGAUCAGCCAACAUCCACGGAGUUUAGAGGGGCUUCCUGCACACCCAGUUUAUGUCUUCCACCUACCUGGCCUCCUUGAAUGUGAUGAGAGAAGCACAGAAUGAAUUUAAUGGCUUCUGCCAACAUAAGCUGCCAAGAUGUCUGCAUCAAGCUUUGAAGACACCAAGAACCCAGAAGACAUGAGCUGAAUGAGUGGGUGAGCAAAUGAAGAAGUGAGCAGAGGAAAGAUGAGAAAGUGAUGUCAAGGCACCAGGAAGGUGUGCGGAUCCGAGCCUGAAAGGAAGCUUAAGAACAGUCUUCCAGGCUACCCAAGCAGGAUCUCAAGACUUCCAUAUGUCUUUGGAGGCUCUGGGCUGGAGUCUGUACCUGUGAGGAUGAGCUAGGCUGUGUUGUGGAAACAGAGCGCUCCGAAUCUCUUGCUAUGGAGGUGGCCACGUGGUUUGGUUUUGCUCUGCCUUUGUUUUAUACUGGGUCUCCCUGUGUAGCCUAGGCUGGCUUUGAACUUGCAAUUCGCCUGCCUGCCUCAGCCUCACAAGUGCUGUUAUCACAAGUGUGCACCACCAGGCUUGGCUGUCUCUCAAACUCAGUGCCAAAAAUGAUAGCUUUACUUCCCACUCAUGUUCCAUGACCUUGAGUUACUGUCUUCAUUUACAGUUACAGGUGGAGGGAUCCUCUAUCCUUGGAGGGCGGGAAGGACUCAUUAAUCUGUCACUCAGGAGUUCUUAAAGGCAUCUACCUGGAAGUGCUGCAGUACACUCCCUCUUAGCCUUAGAAAAUCAUGUGACUGUGGAGAAAGAAGGGCAAUUCUACUUUGUUCCCAGGAGAAGAGGAAAAAACAUUUUGGUGAACAUCAUCAAUGGCUACCCCAAAGAACUGCAAAGUGCCAAGCAAAAAAUACAAAAGAGUUCUCUGCACUACGGGAAAUUAUUGAAGCCAUAAAGAUCCCAGCUCUUGCAGAUGAGGCUCUUGGUGAGUGGAGCAGAGCAAAUCAAUAAUGUCAUACUCCUUGCCUGGAUCAAAACGCUCAAGGAAAUCGCUGCAAAUAAGAAGAGGACAAGGUUCGUCUCCGUCAGUCACUGCACCAGCUGAUGCUAUGGCAGGGGCACAGCCUAAUUGGCUGGCCCAGAACGUUGAAAGCCAGGAAAGCAUUUAAUCAAAAAUUGGAACCCUCGUAGAUUCUGGAAGAUAAUUACUCAGCACUGUGGUAGAAGAGCAGCCUGAAGGAAGGGUCUGGCAUAUUGAAAUGAAUGCUGGUUUCAUAACUCUAGAGGAUUCUCAGGUGAGACAGGGCCCAGGGGAAUUAUUCUGUGGGAGAAUAAGAAGAAAAGUACCACAAAGCGAUGAUAGAAAAGAUGUAUGUCUCACUGUGUCACUCUCUGCUGUGGGUAGCAUGGUGCAGGGCAUAGUCAUCCAUAUAGUUAUUUAUUCAUUUGUAUUUCAGUGUUGGGGUGGCCCAGGGACCUGCAUAUGCAAGGCUAGAGUUCUAUUACUGAGCUACACUCCCAGCCCCUAGGAUUUUGAUUCAGGGUCUCAGCUGUGUAGCCCAGAUUAGCCUUAGACUUGUGGUCCUCCUGCCUCAGCCUCCUGAGUGCUGGGAUUAUAAGCAUGCACCGCAUCGCCUGGCUCUGACAAGAAUUUAUUAAAUGUCCACUCUGUGUUGGGCAUAGUUUUAAAAGGUGACGUUCUGCCAGGGGCUAGAAAAACUGGGUCUCUGUUCUUUUGGAGGUGACACUGAGUAGGGUAGACGAUGGUAAAUAAGGAAAAGAAUGUAAUUAUGUCACAUAGUGGUCAUGAGCAAGUCAGCGGGGAGAUGCGAAGGUUCAGGAAGUCUUAGGCUGCUCAGCCUCUUCUGAAGGGAGAUAUUGGAAAGAAGACUGGACAGACAGGAGGACUGCUUUAGGAAAGUACCAAGGCCAGACAGAAGCACACUUGGUAUUCCAGGGACUUCCAGAAGGCGAGUGUCAGGAUGGGGAGGAGCAGAGGUGGGAACCUUAGAAGCCACAGAAAAAACUCAUAGGCUCUGAAUGACUGACCAGAUGAUCCAAGUGGCUGAACAUAGUGCUUCAUUGUAGCUUAGUGGGUAUUGAUCUCCAGUAGCUGGGUUCACCCAGGACCUGAGCAGCCUUGUGAUCCUGUGGAGCACCCUGGUAUCCUGGAGUAGCAACAACUAGAUUCUGAUGUGAUGAACAUGUAUGUAGCAAGCCCUCAUAUGCUGACUGCAGCCUCAAGUUUGACCUGGCCACAUCUCUGUUCAUUGCUAUUAUUAUCCUCUUGUGUUUAUACAUAUUAAGUAUGUAUGUAUAGAAAACUGCUAGAUAUUAUGUAAUAAAUAUGAGCAGUAAUUUUUUAAUCACAUUUUUUUAAAUUAAAAAAAUUCUAUGUAGGGAAAAUUCAAUGCAUAAAGGGUAAAGGCACCUGCUGAUAAGGCUAAUGACCUGAGUUCAAUCCCCAGGACCCACACAGUAGAAGAAUAAAGCAAACUCCUGAAGUUGUAUUCUGAAAUCCACACACAUAUUAAUAAAUAAAUAAAUGUUAUAAAAUUCUAUAUAUUUGUGGCAUAAAC